GCACAAGUUCCUGUUUUCAACUCUUAGAAAAUGAUGUCAUCAUCGAUCCUAAAAAAGUUAUGAAAAUACUGAAUCGAGCCAAAUCGCCAAGUAUUCGAGAACUUUACUCAAACUACAGUGUCGUUGCCAUAGAAAGCUGUGCUGGUCGGAGGGAAGCUUAUAAAAUGUUGUGGAGUGAAGUAACUGUCCUGGUGGUGGCCGCAAUCAUCGCCAUUGCCUCACUCAUAUUUUGUGUCCUCAUCUGUCUCAUGUUCUCAAAGUA